GACAGAGGAGCCAAGCGUUGUCCGGACUGACUGGGCGUAAAGCGCCCGCAGGCGGCCGUGCGCGUGGGGUGUGAAAGCUCUCGGCUUAACUGAGAGAGGCCAUCCCAUACGGCACGGCUCGAGCCGUCCAGAGGCCGGUGGAAUUGCCGGUGUAGUGGUGAAAUGCGUAGAGAUCCGGAGGAACCCCAGAGGCGAAGGCGGCGCCCUGGCUCGCAACUGACGCUCAGACACGACAGCAUGGGGAGCGAACAGG
rnacentral:rRNA from 1 species